rnacentral:rRNA from 1 species
AACGAACGCUGGCGGCAGGCUUAACACAUGCAAGUCGAACGGGCACCUUCGGGUGUCAGUGGCAGACGGGUGAGUAACGCGUGGGAACGUACCCUUCGGUUCGGAAUAACCCAGGGAAACUUGGGCUAACACCGGAUACGUCCGCAAGGAGAAAGAUUUAUCGCCGAAGGAUCGGCCCGCGUCGGAUUAGCUAGUUGGUGGGGUAAUGGCCCACCAAGGCGACGAUCCGUAGCUGGUCUGAGAGGAUGAUCAGCCACACUGGGACUGAGACACGGCCCAGACUCCUACGGGAGGCAGCAGUGGGGAAUAUUGGACAAUGGGCGAAAGCCUGAUCCAGCCAUGCCGCGUGAGUGAAGAAGGCCUCAGGGUUGUAAAGCUCUUUCAGCGGGAAGAUAAUGACGGUACCCGCAGAAGAAGUCCCGG